UACAGAGGCCCCAAGCGUUACUGAGAAUCACUGGGUUUAAAGGGUGCGUAGGUGGCGCGUUAAGUCCGUUGUGAAAUCCCUGGGCUCAACCCAGGAAUUGCUUCGGAUACUGGCGUGCUUGAGGCUAGUAGGGGUCACUGGAACUGACGGUGGAGCGGUGAAAUGCGUAGAUAUCGUCAGGAACGCCAAUGGUGAAGACAGGUGACUGGGCUAGUUCUGACACUGAGGCACGAAAGCGUGGGGAGCAAACAGG
rnacentral:rRNA from 1 species